rnacentral:rRNA from 1 species
AUGCCGGACCGCUCCCCGUCCUCCUGGUACACCGCCAUCUCCGGCUGCGUCCGCUGUGGCCACGAAUCCACUGCGUUCGACCUGCUGUGUGGCAUGCGUGAACGUGCAGUUCCGCUCAGUGGCUUUGCUCUCGCCAGUCUCAUCACCGCGUGCGAGCGCCGGGACAAGGAGGAGGGCCGCACGUGUGGAGCCGCCAUACACGCGCUGACCCACAAAGCCGGACUCAUGGUGAACGUGUACAUCGGGACAGCGCUCCUUCACCUGUAUGGCUCCCGGAAGCAUGUGUUGGACGCACAUAAGUUGUUCCGGGAGAUGCCUGAGCGGAAUGUUGUGUCGUGGACGGCACUGAUGGUGGCCUUGUCGUCAAAUGGGUACUUGGAAGAGGCAUUGAGAGCUUAUUGCCGGAUGAGAAUGGAAGGUGUUGCGUGCAAUGCAAAUGCGUUUGCGACGGUGGUCAGCUUGUGUGGGUCGCUCGAGAGUGAGAUGGCUGGGCUUCAGGUAUUUUCCCAGGUCUUAGUUUCUGGCCUACAAAGGCAGGUCUCCGUGGCAAAUUCACUGAUUACAAUGCUUGGUAACAUCGGAAGGGUGAAAGAUGCUGAGAAGCUCUUUUAUCGAAUGGAGGAACGUGACACUAUAUCAUGGAACGCUAUGGUAUCAAUGUACUCACAUGAAGGACUCUGCAGUAAAUGCUUUAUGGUAUUUUCGGAUAUGCGUCGUGGUGGAUUGUUAAGGCACGAUGCAACUACUAUGUGCAGCCUGAUAUGCGCCUGUGCCUCGUCAGAUUAUGUCAACACUGGAAGUGGAAUUCAUUCCCUGUGUCUCAGGGGUGGUCUGCACUCUUAUAUUCCCGUGAUUAAUGCCCUUGUUAAUAUGUAUUCCGCUGCUGGGAAGUUGGUUGAUGCUGAGUUUCUGUUCUGGAGCAUGGGCAGAAGGGAUCUAAUAUCAUGGAACACUAUGAUUUCAUCAUAUGUCCAAAGCGGUAAUAACAUGGAUGCAUUGAAGACACUAGGUCAGUUACUUCAGACUAAUGAAGCUCCAGAUCGCAUGACAUUUUCCAGCGCUUUAGGAGCAUGUUCAAGUCCAGGAGCUUUGAUGGAUGGCAGAAUGGUUCAUGCCAUGAUAUUACAGUUAAGUCUUCACCGCAAUCUACUGGUUGGUAAUUCUCUCCUCACGAUGUAUGGUAAAUGCAGUUCUAUCCAAGAUGUCGAGAGAGUAUUUCAGUUGAUGUCCACUCACGAUGUUGUUAGUUGCAAUGUACUUAUUGGGAGCUACUCAGCGCUUGAGGAUUGUACCAAGGUAAUGCAGGUAUUUACUUGGAUGAGAGGUGCAGGAUUAAAGCCAAAUUACAUAACAUUAGUGAAUAUCCAGGGUUCUUUCAAAUCUUCAAAUGAGUUACGCAAUUAUGGAUUGCCCCUGCACGCAUACACAAUCCAUACUGGAUUCAUAGCUGAUGACUACGUUAGUAACUCUCUGAUCACAAUGUAUGCUAACUGUGGCGACUUAGAUUCAAGCACUAAAGUCUUCCGCACAAUCAUCAAGAAAAGUGUUGUUUCCUGGAAUGCUAUGAUCGCCGCGAAUGUUCAGCAUGGCCACGGAGAGGAAGGCUUAAAGCUUUUCAUGGAUAUGUGGCAUGCUGGAAAUAAUCUUGAUCAUGUUUGUCUAGCUGAAUGUUUGUCAUCCAGUGCAAGCCUGGCAUCACUAGAAGAAGGCAUGCAACUACAUGGUCUUGGUGUGAAGUGUGGGCUGGAUAAUGACAGUCAUGUGGUUAAUGCUGCAAUGGAUAUGUACGGGAAAUGUGGAAAAAUGGAUGAAAUGUUGAAAAUGCUCCCUGAUCCUGCCGUUCGACCCCAACAAUGCUGGAAUACAUUGAUAUCAGGUUAUGCAAGAUAUGGAUAUUUCAAGGAAGCUGAGGACACAUUUAAGCAUAUGGUGUCGAUGGGGCGAAAGCCAGAUUACGUAACAUUUGUCACUCUUCUCUCAGCUUGUAGUCAUGCUGGUCUAGUGGACAAGGGUAUUGAUUACUAUAACUCUAUGUCUUCUGUAUUUGGUGUUUCCCCUGGAAUAAAGCAUUGUGUUUGCAUUGUGGAUGUCCUUGGACGUUUAGGGCGAUUUACAGAAGCAGAGAAGUUCAUUGAAGACAUGCCAGUCUUAACAAAUGAUCUAAUUUGGCGUAGCCUGUUGUCCUCUAGUAGAACUCACAAAAAUCUGGAUACUGGGAGGAAAGCCGCCAAGAAACUCCUUGAGCUGGAUCCUUUUGACGACUCAGCUUAUGUUCUUCUGUCAAACUUAUAUGCGACAAGUGCAAGAUGGUCCGAUGUUGAUAGACUAAGAAGUCACAUGAAAAGCAUCAAUUUAAAUAAAAGGCCUGCUUGCAGUUGGCUUAAGCAGAAGAAAGAAGUAAGCAUCUUUGGUAUUGGUGACCGGAGUCAUAAUGACACAGAAAAGAUCUACGCGAAGCUAGAUGAAAUCUUUCUGAAGCUCAGGGAGGUAGGUUAUGUUGCUGAUACCUCAUCGGCACUGCAUGAUACAGAUGAGGAACAAAAAGAGCAGAACCUUUGGAAUCACAGCGAGAAGCUUGCAUUGGCAUAUGUAUCACUGUUCCGGAAGGAUGUACAGUAA